UACGAAGAUACUUACGAUGAGUGUCCACACAGAUUGAUGGUUUAGAUUUAGUUAAAGCCAGAGCUUUAAUUAAUAACGUAAGUUAUUGAUUAAAGCUUUUUGCUUUAUGCUCUUUAACAAUUUGGAAAGCUGACUGAUUGAUUACUUACGAGUAAUUCAAUCAAAUUUAAAAGUUCUCAAUGUUUAUCUUUCAUUAGAUAAACACAACAAACACAUUCAAGUGUCUUGUAUUCGAAUCAAUGUUUACAUUGAUUCACAAUUGAGUCCGGCAAACAGUUAUCAAGAAUUAACCCUUCUUGAUGACAACCAAAAACCUUGGUUAGUUGCCAUACGCUAAGACCCUUUCGGGUUGU
rnacentral:misc_RNA from 1 species